rnacentral:rRNA from 1 species
CAGUCGCCGCGGGAAUACGUAGGGUGCAAGCGUUAAUCGGAAUUACUGGGCGUAAAGCGUGCGCAGGCGGUUUGUUAAGACAGAUGUGAAAUCCCCGGGCUCAACCUGGGAACUGCAUUUGUGACUGGCAAGCUAGAGUGUGGCAGAGGGGGGUAGAAUUCCGCGUGUAGCAGUGAAAUGCGUAGAUAUGCGGAGGAACACCGAUGGCGAAGGCAGCCCCCUGGGCCAACACUGACGCUCAUGCACGAAAGCGUGGGGAGCAAACAGGAUUAGAUACCCCCGUAGUCCCUGUCUCUUAUAC